AUUGAACGCUGGCGGCAGGCUUAACACAUGCAAGUCGAGCGGAGAUGAGGUGCUUGCACCUUAUCUUAGCGGCGGACGGGUGAGUAAUGCUUAGGAAUCUGCCUAUUAGUGGGGGACAACAUUCCGAAAGGAAUGCUAAUACCGCAUACGUCCUACGGGAGAAAGCAGGGGAUCUUCGGACCUUGCGCUAAUAGAUGAGCCUAAGUCGGAUUAGCUAGUUGGUGGGGUAAAGGCCUACCAAGGCGACGAUCUGUAGCGGGUCUGAGAGGAUGAUCCGCCACACUGGGACUGAGACACGGCCCAGACUCCCACGGGAGGCAGCAGUGGGGAAUAUUGGACAAUGGGGGGAACCCUGAUCCAGCCAUGCCGCGUGUGUGAAGAAGGCCUUAUGGUUGUAAAGCACUUUAAGCGAGGAGGAGGCUACUGAGACUAAUACUCUUGGAUAGUGGACGUUACUCGCAGAAUAAGCACCGGCUAACUCUGUGCCAGCAGCCGCCGUAAGAC
rnacentral:rRNA from 1 species